rnacentral:rRNA from 1 species
UACGAAGGGGGCUAGCGUUGCUCGGAAUUACUGGGCGUAAAGGGCGCGUAGGCGGCACUGUUAGUCAGGCGUGAAAGUCCUGGGCUCAACCUGGGAACUGCGCUUGAUACGGCAGAGCUAGAGGAUGGAAGAGGGUCGCGGAAUUCCCAGUGUAGAGGUGAAAUUCGUAGAUAUUGGGAGGAACACCGGUGGCGAAGGCGGCCCCCUGGACCGGUACUGACGCUGAGGCGCGAAAGCGUGGGUAGCAAACGGG